ensembl:lncRNA
UGUGGAUUAAGGCUGCCCCAGCUAGAGAAGCCCAAGGUGACCUGGCCUACGUGCCAAACUAUACGACCCAGUGGACUUUUUUUAUGGUAUGAAUUAGGACUGCCCCAGGGAGAGAAGCCCGGGGCAUCCUCACCUGCAUGCCGAUCUAUAUGGCCAGAUUCGUAUCUAAAGUUAUAUGACCGCACAAUAACCAGACCCCAUCUGCACUGAAAUCAUUUAAUGACUUUUUACAUCAUCUUUUCUUUUCUCCAGUAAAAAUAAGUCACGUACCCAUGCCUUAUAAAAUUAGCCCUAACCCUCAACUCGGCAGCAGCAGGAGCUCUGACCGCCCGUGGGUCCUGUCCCCACGCACCAGCUCUGCCUGCCCAUGGGUCCUGUCCCCAUGCCAGCGGCAGCAGCAGCAGAAGCUCUGCCUGCCCAUGGGUCCUGUCCCCAUGCUAUUCCACACUAUUCUCUAAAUAAAAGAGCACUACUGCCAGAUCUUGAGAGUCUAAGAAAUCUUUCUUUCGACUCCUCGGCUCACCGAUCCCGCAUCAUUUCUGGUGGCCCGUACGGGGAAUUGCUUCAUCGGCUUGUGAGCUCGAGUUCUGGUAAGUGCCCUUUUCUUCCUUGUGCCUUUCUCUUUUUCAAGGAUGGAUCUAGAUUCACUGCUCCAUCGGGAACUUUCUCGGACAGCUGUAUGAAUCCACGUUUGCUGCCCAUGGCUACUCUAUGGGGCAAAUUGUGGCAUUCAGCUUGAAGAGAUUCAGUACCUUAAGCCUCAGGGUGAUGGAGAAUGAAUUAAUCCAUUCCUUCCUGCUCUUUUUCAAGGAUGGAUCUAGAUUCACUGCUCCAUCGGGAACUUUCUUGGAUGGCUGUAUGAAUCCACGUUUGCUGCCCAUGGCUACUCUAUGGGGCAAAUUGUGGCAUUCAGCUUGAAGAGAUUCAGUACCUUAAGCCUCAGGGUGAUGGAGAAUGAAUUAAUCCAUUCCUUCCUGACUCUAUCUCUAAUAGACAAAUUUUACGUGGGCGCGGGUCGGCCACUUAAGUCGUUAGGACGGCCGCCAAUCUCCAAGACUCCCGUGGAAGGUUUCUUUUCCUAAGGCUGGAUUGGCAUCCCUCCCUCUGGCACCUGACCACGCUCUGAACUGCGAGGAAAGUCCCACUCGGGACUCCAGUUCAAGGGAAGUACCAAACUCUAACCUUUGGUGGAGUAUGGGAACCCCUUCUUGGGAGAAUGGCUCCAGGAUGCAAUUGGGUAGAAUGUCCCCCAGACUGGCGGAAAAUUCCUCACUGUCUUUCUCUUUCUCACUGUCUUUGUCCUUUUCUCUCCUGGGGACCAUACGCCAGGCACCUAUUACUGUCAGGCAGAAUAGGGAAGAUGUUCAAGGGAUGCCCCCAUCAUCCCUUGCUACAGGAACCCCAAUGGGGGGAUUUUCAAGGUAAUGGCUCCCUUUCUCUGGGACCAUACGCCAGGCACCUAUUCCUGCCAGGCAGAAUAGGGAAGAUGUUCAAGGGAUGCCCCCAUCAUCCCUUGCUACAGGAACCCCAAUGGGGGGAUUUUCAAGGUAAUGGCUCCCUUUCUCUGGGACCAUACGCCAGGCACCUAUUCCUGCCAGGCAGAAUAGGGAAGAUGUUCAAGGGAUGCCCCCAUCAUCCCUUGCUACAGGAACCCCAAUGGGGGGAUUUUCAAGGUAAUGGCCCCUUUUCUUUCUCCUUUUCUCUCGGGAACCAUUCACCAGGCCUAUGCUGUCAGGCAGAAUAGGCACCAGGCACCUGUUACUGCCAGGCAUAACAGGGAAGGUAUACAAGGGAUGCAAUGCUGGGGGACGCCCCCAUCACCCCUUGCUAUAGGAACCCCACAGUAGGAACAACGGGUAGGACGCUGCCCUAGGUUCAGGGGGGAUUUUUCAUGGUAAUGGACCCGUUUCUUUUGUCUCUCUUGGAGUUACAAUGGCAAUUUUCAUCUCCUUUUGAGCCUUGUGACUGGGAAACAAAGAAAUCUUUAAAGAGUAAAAGGCUCCACCCCUGGGAGCCCCAACUUUGGGUUUCUGGGCCUGAUCACCCCAGCAACCCUAAGUGGGGGUGCCCUCUCUUGACAGUCGACUCAUUGAGUAUUUUAGUCACCUACUGAGUCGGUUAUGAGGGUAGGAGACCUGUGAUUUAUUCUGUGAACUGUCGUGCUAGCGUAGUGUGCCCCAGUACAGGAACUGUUGUGUGACUCUUAUCUUGAUAACCCUCUGGAAGAGGCCAUGAGGGUGAGGUCUGAUCUCUUCUUUUCCUUUCUUUGUCUGUUUUGCUCACCAUCUCUUCUGUUGUCACCAAGUAGAGGUUAAGUUCAGGUUAGACCUGAGCAGAACCUUGACCUUCUGUAAAAUUGGAAAAAUAAGCCUUUUGCCAGGGAUUUAACUCUCAAACCUGGCUCUGGGAGCCCCAGCCUCCAGCCAGUUCCAGGCCUUUGCCUCCUGCUUCCCUACCUCAACUUUGCUGGCUCAGAGACAAAGUGCCCAGGCUGAGCGGGACUUGACUAAAUCUUAUAACUAUGUCAACACCCGCAAUCGGCCUCUGCACACCCGCAAUCGGCCUCUGCACCCUUUCUCCAGCUGCUGUCAGUCAGACACUGGCUUUACCGCCACGGGGAAGGUUCCUAAGCAUCCCCAGAGACCCACCCUGUGGAUGCGUUCUAACUCCAUCUGGGAGAAAAUUUGAGGGGUUUCUCUGUGCCUUUGUGAUGCAGUUGGACAGGUAGAUCAACCUGGAAUGUAAUUUGAGUUACAAUCCAGUUUCUGGGAAAUCAAGAGCAACUGUCCUUAGAAAAUCCUUGCAAGACUGGAAAUACAGCUCUAGAGGCAGUUCAGAUUCCACCUAGUUCCUUUAUCACAGAAAGGAUUAUCAUCUCCCCUCUCCAGGAACUACUAUCUAGCCCAUCACUAAUUCCUAAGACUGAAAAAAAAAAAAAAAAAGAAAGAAAGAAAGAAAGAGGAGGGGAGAGGGAAAACGGCCAUAAGCGUGCCCUUGCAAAAAAUCUAGCAUCUUGAGUAUCUUCUCCACAAAUAUUGGUAAAAAAACAAUAGCUCUAACAAUAGCUGUGCAGUCUCUGUGUACGUGUGUCUAUGUGUACGUUAUAUGUGUGAUAUUUUACCUCCGGAUGGUGUUACCAAAAUUAAGAGCUCUGUUUAAUUGGCUUCAAGUAAGCGCUUACAUAAAUUCUAAAUGUAGUAGAAAUUAAUCCAAUGUCUUUCAAGUUAACUUGAUGUGAAUUAACUUUUGGUAAAUGAAAGCUUGUUUAAGUUUGUUGGUUUGAUUGAAAAUAGUCUUCUUGUCAGAGUUGUCAGUAUUUGCAUAUGAUGCAGGCAUGCAGCCUGGGUUUACUAGUCAAAUAAGUUCACAUUGUCUGUUAAAUUCGUCAGCAAAAUAAUAGCUUUAAAGGAUGACCAGUUUUGUCUAAUGUCUCAUGAAGUUUUUGUGGGUACAAUAACUGUUUUAUGGUCUGUAUACUUGAAAAAAAAAAAAAAAGCUUCCAAAUUGUUUUGAUAACAAUCUUGAGUUUUGCCAAGUUAAGUUAAAUGAUAAAAAUCUGAGCAUCUGGGUCAUUUUUGGAUUGGAUAGCACACAAGCAUUAUAGCCAAACUUAUCUAAGUUAUCUACUUUUGGCUUCUUAUUGCAGAGAGGCUAAAAGUCUUUGGGUCUGUUAUUGUAAAGCAGCGUGUUUCUAGAAAUUAUGAAGUGUUUAGAAUGCUGGUAUAAAAGACAAUUCAUAAUUGCUUACCUUUUUAGUGUUUACUAUGGUCUGUUAAGGGUUAAAAGUUCUUAUUAACCUAUAUAAUUAAAGCUACUGGAAGUUAAUAAGGAAAACAGCUCUGUAUUGAAGGAAAGUUAAAAUGUAUGUUUUCAGUAAAGAGGGUAUAAAGAAUGGAAGUAUUUUUGUUUGAUGGGUUAAGAAAGAUAAGUUUGUCCUAAAGUACUAGAAAGAAAAAAAGACAGACUUUGGGACAAAUUCUGAAGGCAAAAAGAAAGUUGUAGAUUUGUGAAGGAGGAAUUCUGAAAGGAGUUUUAUGCCUGGUCAAGUAGACUAAGAUUAGAGUAAAUCCAAUUAAGUGAAUGAGUUUUAAUGUUAAAAAUAAGCUGGUACAGAAAUUAAAAUUUGGUUUUCUCUCAAAGCAUAAUUUUCUUGAACUUUUGGCCUGCUCUAACUCUACCUAAAAGACAGAAAAUCUAUGUUUUGUUAAAAUAAUUUCCUAUAUUCAGAAAGAAAGAGGUCUCUUCUAAAAUUUUUUUGACGGUGUUGUUUGCUCUUGACUGUCUCUGUUGUCACUUUGAAUGGAUGCCUGAGCAUUGUUUAACAGUGAGCGUUGUUUCCUAUUGAACAAGCAUUUUAAAAACUUUUGAUAUUUUUGACAAGCUUCUCCCUCAAAAAUAUUCAAAUCCUGAAUAAAGGCUUUCUUUUGACCUAGUAGAUGGAAGAAGAAUUUCUCUGAGGAUUUUCAGAGGGCCCCUGAGACUUCUCAAAGAAAUUUGCUCUCUUCCUAUAAGGAGGAAAAUACUAAAUUAAUUAGGUUUAUUUGGUUUACUAAAUUACAUGGGAAGCAUUGUCAAAUAAGCGAUGAUAAACUUUCUUAUGUGGUAUUACGUGGGUGAAUGUUAUUAAUAUACGUGUCUUAACAUUAUAUAGCAUUCCUAAAAUUCUAAUCUGUUCUGGUUAUCAGUCAUAAUUCCAGUUAUUAUCUUAAAGUGUUAUAUGUCACAGAAAUAGCCAAGUUUCUUUGUCAAUUGCCCUUUUGAGUCUUUUGUCCAUUUGCAGAUAGUUGCUGUUUUACACUGAUGCUUUUUGCUUUUGCAAAUAUGUUUCAUGUCCAGAGAAAUUCCUGGAAAGGAUUCUGACACAAGGGUUCUAAACUACAGGUUUCUGAUAAACUUUCAGAUUGUAAAACUGAACUGGGUAAGAAAUUACAGAAUUCUAACAGAAACUAAGCUCAUAGACCUGCUAACAGAAGAUUAAACUCAAUAAUCAAUUAUACAGGACUGUGUGAACUGAUGAGAAUGAUUAUAAUUUUUUAUGACUUCUGUUUGAAAUAUUGCUGAGUUUUGAUGUUUUGUUUUGUUUUCUCAUGUUUAAGGAAAUCUUUCUUUCUUUUCUCUUAUGCUAACUAUGACUUACAGCAAUUUAGUGAAAUACAUCUUUAUGAGCAAAACUGAAACAUUUGUCUUUUUCUCCCGACCUGAUCCCUCCAGAAUUUGGAAACUCUUUGUGAGUACGGUUAUUUCGUGGCAAUAUAGUUAUUUGCAUAAGUUCAAUAAGAAUUUGGUCUCCUUAUAACAGGACACAUUGGUUAUCUUACCAAGGCUUUGACUGGAAUGUCAUAUUUGAGCGAAACAUACAGGCUCGGAUAUGACAAGACAGCUUUUCAGGAACAAAGAUUGGACUUUCUGGAAUACAGCCACUUGGAAACAUGGGCCUGGUACCUUGUUUACAGAGAUUCUGGCAAUCUUACCUGGUAAGUAAGGAAGCUUGCUUAUCUGGCAGGUGCAAGGAACCUCAGAAUAUUUUGGAGGACCUCGAGAAGAGAGGAGUCCACCCAAAUCUGGAGGUACUGCAGGCAAAAUCUGAUGGCAAGUCCUUGGCUUGGCUUUUCUGGCCUCGAGAGGCCUUUACAGUUCAAUCUGAGAUUCCUCAUAAGAAAAAUUCCAGCAAAGCAGAUUUAAAAAGCCUGUAUAAUCAAUUGCCAUUCUUGCUGCACUUAUGUCAAUAAUUGGACCAAGUUUUAUUGAAACUACACUUAUUUUGCAAACCAGUUAAUCUUAAUUUGGCUAUCUUUUGUAAAAAUGAGGGUGAUUUUAGAGAGAAAAAUUAUGUUUCAGUAGAAGCUAUAGUACGCAUUUAUGGAUAUUAGAUUCUAGCUCUUCUCCUCUACAAGAGUCAUCUAUUACUAAUCAUGUCUCCUUGUGGCCAUCUGUCUCUGAUACCUGGGAGUUCCCUGGCCACAAUCAAACCUUUUCCUUCAAUACUGCUGCCCAAAUACUAACUAGAUUUGCCUUGUCAUAGGUGGAUCAUAAACGACAAGUUCCAAAGGUAAAGUCCCCAACUUAUUGAUACACACAGGAUGGACUAUAUCAAAUUUGGGACGAAUAUAUUUGGCUCACUCCUGCUAGUGAUCAACUCAGUAAAAGUCCACUCUAUCUUGGGAACAAACCAAUCACACCUGUGAUACAUGGCCUAAUAGCACCCGACCUAUGGGAAAAUUCCCUGUCAUAUGUGUUCUCAUAUCAUAAGCUUAAAAAAUACUGAUUGGUUUGGGACUGACUGGGAUAGACGGCCCAGCACGCGUUGGUUAGCCCCUAAUGGCACUCAGUGGCUAUGUGGCUCCAACUUAUGGCUUUGGCUGCCACCUGGAUGGAUUGGACGAUGCACUCUAGGCUUUGUCAGGAUGCAAGGUCUACAUUUACUAUCUCUCCUCCUGCUAACCGACCCAACCUGCAACAGCGCUGGACCUGCUCUGUCUUCCACUGGUAUGACCACGUUGCCUCAAUUUUCCUUCCCCAGUUAGGAAUCGAAAGUGUCAUCUGGCCCAUGGAAGCUCUAAACAAAUUUACUAUGAAAGCGUUAAAAUGAUACACAACAUAGCCUUUUGCUGCUUGAUUUAGAAGUGUCCCAAAUGUAUAAGGCAGUCCUCCAAAACCGAAUGGCACUAGAUGUCUUGACAGCAGCACAGGGGGCACCUGUGCCAUUAUAAAAACUGAAUGUUGUGUCUAUAUUCCUGACUACCAUCAAAAUAUCUCUGGCUUCCUGUCUGAUAUGAGCCACCAAGUUAAGUCCAUGUCUGACCCUCCCCUAUCUCUAAAUGACUGUUUGAACUCCUGGUCAGGACGAGGUUUCUAGACUACUACCAAAACCUUAUUCAUUGGGUUAAUCAUAUUGCUAGUAUUUCCUAUUAUAAUUUGUUGUCUGUUUCGUUGUUUGUCUUCCGCAUGUCAACAAAGUUUCACCUCCUGGACCACCACUCGACAAAUGAUUCUCUCGUCCCCAGAGGCUCUGGAUGCCUUGUCAGCCUUGGACUCCACGGGUGCAGUCUUCCGGUCCGCUGAACCCCCUACCUAUACCUAUGGCCCCAUUUAGGGACAGCUCUACGACCUUGUACAGCCGGAAGUAGUUACAGAAGACUGACCGUCGUCCAUAUCCCCAAAAGAUUUUGGGGCCAAAUGGGUUCAGGGGGGGUUUAUGAUGUGGAUUAAGGCUGCCCCAGCUAGAGAAGCCCAAGGUGACCUGGCCUACGUGCCAAACUAUACGACCCAGUGGACUUUUUUUAUGGUAUGAAUUAGGACUGCCCCAGGGAGAGAAGCCCGGGGCAUCCUCACCUGCAUGCCGAUCUAUAUGGCCAGAUUCGUAUCUAAAGUUAUAUGACCGCACAAUAACCAGACCCCAUCUGCACUGAAAUCAUUUAAUGACUUUUUACAUCAUCUUUUCUUUUCUCCAGUAAAAAUAAGUCACGUACCCAUGCCUUAUAAAAUUAGCCCUAACCCUCAACUCGGCAGCAGCAGGAGCUCUGACCGCCCGUGGGUCCUGUCCCCACGCACCAGCUCUGCCUGCCCAUGGGUCCUGUCCCCAUGCCAGCGGCAGCAGCAGCAGAAGCUCUGCCUGCCCAUGGGUCCUGUCCCCAUGCUAUUCCACACUAUUCUCUAAAUAAAAGAGCACUACUGCCAGAUCUUGAGAGUCUAAGAAAUCUUUCUUUCGACUCCUCGGCUCACCGAUCCCGCAUCAAUAAUACAACUACCCAGUAGAGUAUUUGCAAGGAUUUAACAUAGUCUAUGUAAAGUGGGUAGAAGUGCUCCGCAAGUACACAGCAGGUGCUCCAUUAAGGCCAGCUACCAAGUUACCACGAAACUGAUUUUUACAAGGAAAAAUCCUCAGUGUUCAAUGAGGAAGUGUUUUGGGUGAAAUACCCUGCGCCGGCCUCCUUGGGGACUGCGCGCUCAUAGAGGAGCGUGGUCGGAGGUCCUGGGGCUCGGGAAAGCCAUCUUCAGCACAGGCGAAUCCGCAAGCCACCUGACUCUGAC